AGAGUUUGAUCAUGGCUCAGAAUCAACGCUGGCGGCGUGCCUAACACAUGCAAGUCGCACGAGAAAGGGGAGCAAUCCCUGAGUAAAGUGGCGCACGGGUGAGUAACACGUGACUAACCUACCUCCGAGUGGGGAAUAACUGAGAGAAAUCUUAGCUAAUACCGCAUAACACUUACGAGUCAAAGCAGCAAUGCGCUUGGAGAGGGGGUCGCGGCAGAUUAGUUAGUUGGCGGGGUAAUGGCCCACCAAGACGAUGAUCUGUAUCCGGCCUGAGAGGGCGCACGGACACACUGGAACUGAAACACGGUCCAGACUCCUACGGGAGGCAGCAGUGGGGAAUUUUGCGCAAUGGGGGAAACCCUGACGCAGCAACGCCGCGUGGAGGAUGAAAUAUCUUGGUAUGUAAACUCCUUUCGAUGGGGAAGAUUAUGACGGUACCCAUAGAAGAAGCCCCGGCUAACUUCGUGCCAGCAGCCGCGGUAAUACGAGGGGGGCAAGCGUUGUUCGGAUUUAUUGGGCGUAAAGGGUGCGUAGGCGGUUUGGCAAGUCUGAUGUGAAAUCUAUGGGCUCAACCCAUAGUCUGCAUCAGAAACUGCCGGGCUUGAGUAUGGGAGAGGUGAGUGGAAUUUCCGGUGUAGCGGUGAAAUGCGUAGAUAUCGGAAGGAACACCUGUGGCGAAAGCGGCUCACUGGACCAUAACUGACGCUGAUGCACGAAAGCUAGGGGAGCAAACAGGAUUAGAUACCCCAGUAGUCC
rnacentral:rRNA from 1 species